GACGAACGCUGGCGGCGUGCUUAACACAUGCAAGUCGAGCGGAGCGGCGAACGGGUGAGUAACGCGUGAGUAACUGCCCCCCUCUCUGGGAUAACAGUUGGAAACGGCUGCUAAUACCGGAUAGUGGGGGCUGACUCGCGUCCUAUCAGAUUGUGGGUGGGGUAGGGGCCUACCAAGGCGACGACGGUUAGCCGGCCUGGGAGGGCAACCGGCCACAUGAUGCGAAGGGAGGCACCAGACGCGUACGGGGGGCAGUGGGCGGAAAUAUUACCCAGUGGGGGCAACCCUGUUGCAGCGGCGCCGCGUGCGGAAUGUCGGCCUUCGGGUUGUAAACCGCUUUCGGCCAUGACGCGGUAGUUGCAGAAGAAGCACCGGCUAACUACGUGCCAGCAGCCGCGGUAAUAC
rnacentral:rRNA from 1 species